UACAGAGGGUGCGAGCGUUAAUCGGAAUUACUGGGCGUAAAGCGCACGUAGGUGGCUUUGCAAGUCGAUUGUGAAAUCCCCGGGCUUAACCUGGGAACUGCAGUCGAGACUGCUUUGCUUGAGUAUGGGAGAGGGAGGUGGAAUUUCCGGUGUAGCGGUGAAAUGCGUAGAUAUUGGGAGGAACACCAGUGGCGAAGGCGGCUCACUGGACCGGAACUGACGCUGAGGCGCGAAAGCGUGGGGAGCAAACAGG
rnacentral:rRNA from 1 species